UCGGAGUCUGAUUCUAGACUGAGCGCCCCCACGUAUUAGACGAAGUUGCUGGCUCUCCAGUGUGAUAGUCUCUACCACUGGCAGCACGCCUGAGCUCUCAGGCUCCGGGCUUCAUUCAGCAAGCUGGGUUUCAAGAGCAAGCCAAGGCCAAGGACUUGGGACAGAGCUGUUUUGGUGGGAGAGGAGGCAGGAAAGGCUUGGGCCAUGAGGGAGGCAGGGGGCUCAGGUGGAGGUGAAACAGGAGGCGCUUAACUGUAGUUGACAUGGGAUAUGUCUGUGAUACAUGUACUUGUGGCUGAAGUCAAUGGUGUGCCUGUGUGUGCGUGUGUGUGCGUGUGUGUGUGUGUGUCUAGUAGUCGCUGUUGUGCAUACACAACAUUUGUCCAAAAAGGCUCUUAUUUUUCAAGAGCCGGCCUGAUUGGGGCAGUGUGUGUCCUGGAACUGCCAAGGCAGUGUGUGUGUGUGUGUGUGUGUGUGUGUGUGUGUGUGUUGGGGGUAGAUGUGACAAACGCAGCUCUUGAUAAGGCACCAUCGAAAGGUUUCUCAAUUUCUUCGGUGAUUGGGGAUUUUUUUUAUGUUCCUGCUGCACAUGAAAUGAAAGGCUUCUAUUUGAUUCAUUCGUUUAGGCAUGUGCUGAGCUCAGCCCAGAAGAUUGUUCUCUAUGUUGGGACUGGCCCUCCCAGAGAUAAAGGGAGCACAAAGUGUGAUUCCCACGGCUCUGAACCUUUGGCCUGGCAGCACAGUGCAGAAAGCAUGAGUAGGGGUGCAGGUCCCCAGGCUGUGGCGGGAUUCCUCAAGCUGUGGUGUGCGUAUGCAGGCUGUGGUGUAAGUCCCCAGGCUAUGAUGUAA
rnacentral:lncRNA from 1 species